AGAGUUUGAUCCUGGCUCAGGAUGAACGCUAGCUACAGGCUUAACACAUGCAAGUCGAGGGGAAACGAUAUUGGAAGCUUGCUUCCGAUAGGCGUCGACCGGCGCACGGGUGAGUAACGCGUAUCCAACCUGCCCACCACUUGGGGAUAACCUUGCGAAAGUAAGACUAAUACCCAAUGAUAUCUCUAGAAGACAUCUGAAAGAGAUUAAAGAUUUAUCGGUGAUGGAUGGGGAUGCGUCUGAUUAGCUUGUUGGCGGGGUAACGGCCCACCAAGGCAACGAUCAGUAGGGGUUCUGAGAGGAAGGUCCCCCACAUUGGAACUGAGACACGGUCCAAACUCCUACGGGAGGCAGCAGUGAGGAAUAUUGGUCAAUGGACGAGAGUCUGAACCAGCCAAGUAGCGUGCAGGAAGACGGCCCUAUGGGUUGUAAACUGCUUUUAUAAGGGAAUAAAGUGAGAGUCGUGACUCUUUUUGCAUGUACCUUAUGAAUAAGGACCGGCUAAUUCCGUGCCAGCAGCCGCGGUAAUACGGAAGGUCCGGGCGUUAUCCGGAUUUAUUGGGUUUAAAGGGAGCGUAGGCCGGAGAUUAAGCGUGUUGUGAAAUGUAGACGCUCAACGUCUGCACUGCAGCGCGAACUGGUUUCCUUGAGUACGCACAAAGUGGGCGGAAUUCGUGGUGUAGCGGUGAAAUGCUUAGAUAUCACGAAGAACUCCGAUUGCGAAGGCAGCUCACUGGAGCGCAACUGACGCUGAAGCUCGAAAGUGCGGGUAUCGAACAGGAUUAGAUACCCUGGUAGUCCGCACGGUAAACGAUGGAUGCCCGCUGUUGGUCUGAAUAGGUCAGCGGCCAAGCGAAAGCAUUAAGCAUCCCACCUGGGGAGUACGCCGGCAACGGUGAAACUCAAAGGAAUUGACGGGGGCCCGCACAAGCGGAGGAACAUGUGGUUUAAUUCGAUGAUACGCGAGGAACCUUACCCGGGCUUGAAUUGCAGAGGAAGGAUUUGGAGACAAUGACGCCCUUCGGGGCCUCUGUGAAGGUGCUGCAUGGUUGUCGUCAGCUCGUGCCGUGAGGUGUCGGCUUAAGUGCCAUAACGAGCGCAACCCCUCUCCUUAGUUGCCAUCAGGUUAAGCUGGGCACUCUGGGGACACUGCCACCGUAAGGUGUGAGGAAGGUGGGGAUGACGUCAAAUCAGCACGGCCCUUACGUCCGGGGCUACACACGUGUUACAAUGGCAGGUACAGAGAGACGGU
rnacentral:rRNA from 1 species